UACGAAGGGGGCUAGCGUUGUUCGGAAUUACUGGGCGUAAAGAGCAUGUAGGCGGCUUAGAAAGUUAAAAGUGAAAUCCCAGAGCUUAACUCUGGAACCGCUUUUAAAACUCCUAAGCUAGAGAUCGAUAGAGGAUGGUGGAAUUCCUAGUGUAGAGGUGAAAUUCUUAGAUAUUAGGAGGAAUAUCAAUGGCGAAGGCAGCCAUCUGGGUCAGAUCUGACGCUGAGAUGCGAAAGCGUGGGGAGCAAACAGG
rnacentral:rRNA from 1 species